rnacentral:misc_RNA from 1 species
GAAAUGCGAUAAGUAAUGUGAAUUGCAGAAUUCAGUGAAUCAUCGAAUCUUUGAACGCACAUUGCGCCCCCUGGUAUUCCGGGGGGCAUGCCUGUCCGAGCGUCAUUACAACCCUCAAGCUCAGCUUGGUGUUGGGCCCCGCCGCCCCGGCGGGCCCUAAAGUCAGUGGCGGUGCCGUCCGGCUCCGAGCGUAGUAAUUCUUCUCGCUCUGGAGGUCCGGUCGUGUGCUCGCCAGCAACCCCCAAGAAUCGACCUCGGAUCAGGUAGGGAUACCCGCUGAACUUAA